CAGUAUAAUCUAUAUUUCUAUAGUUUUUACCCUAGAGAAAUGGGAUCCUAGAGCGUUUGGUCUCUCAAACCACAAGGGGGAUUUAUAAUGUUCUCUUCUGAGCAGGGAUAUGUGAGCAUGGACCACUGCUUUUAGCAGCUGCUCUUUGCAAUCAAUGAAUGAUCCCUUUCUCUCAUAUACAGAGUUGGAGGAAGAGAAUGUUAGAGGG